GCCCGGGUGGUGAAAUUGGUAGACGCAGGGGACUCAAAAAUCCCCCACCGAAAGGUGCGCCGGUUCGAUUCCGGCCCCGGGCACCA
rnacentral:tRNA from 1 species